rfam:Angiostrongylus cantonensis strain Taiwan genome assembly, scaffold: ACAC_scaffold0004646
GCUUCCAUGGCGCAAUAGGCAGCGUGUUCGGCUGUUAACCGAUAGGUAGGUGGUUCGAGCACACAGGGAGCG